rnacentral:rRNA from 1 species
UUUGAACGUUCGAUCUCAAAUCAGGUAGGACUACCCGCUGAACUUAAGCAUAUCAAUAAGCGGAGGAAAAGAAACUAACAAGGAUUCCCCUAGUAACUGCGAGUGAAGCGGGAAGAGCUCAAAUUUAAAAUCUGGCGUGCCUCCGGUCGUCCGAAUUGUAGUCUCGAGAAGUGUUUUCCGUGCUGGACC